ACACAACGCAGGCGAGUUUUGAUGAUGACACAGAUGUCUUCUGUGUCUUCACUGGUGCUCGUUCAUGCUGCUGAAAUGCUUCUGUAAAGGCUUGAACUUGAAUUAUGGCUUUGAAUCAUCUGAGCCUGCUGCGACCUUUCCUGUGUCAGUCGCUGGUACGACAUGUCCGGUCUCCUGUCAUGGUCGCCUCCAGGGUCAGCGUUAGACCGCCUCUGUGCCCCAGCGUCACCCACCACCCUGCUGCAUGCGUCAGGCUCUAUGCCACCAAGAAGGCAAAAGCCAAGGCAAAGGGCCAGUCAGCUAAGGUGAAUAUCAAUUCAGCUCUGGUGCAAGACAUCAUCAGUCUGGAUGAAGUGAAGGAAGACAUGACCGCAGUUCUCAGCGCGCUCAAAGAUGACUUUACACGCAACCUCAGCAUCCGAACCUCGCCAGGAGCUCUGGAUCACAUCGUGGUGACGACUCAAGACGGGAAGUUUCCUCUCAACCAGCUGGGUCAGAUCUCCAUGAAGUCACCUCAGCUCAUUAUGGUCAACAUGAGCAGCUUCCCUGAAGCUACAGCGGCGGCCACCCGAGCCCUGAGAGAGAGCAGCAUGAACCUAAACCCAGAGGUGGACGGGACCAUCAUCAAGGUGCCCGUUCCCAAAGUGACUCGGGAACACAGAGAGAAUCUCGUCAAGCUAGCCAAGCAAUUCAGCAACAAGGCUAAGGACUCGCUGAGGAAGGUGCGCUCUAAUGCUGUCACACAGGCCAAAAGGGCAAAGGAAGGACACUCGGAGGACACAAUACGACUCGUAGAAAAACAGAUACAGCAGAUGUCGGACAACUUUGCAGCAGACAUUGACAAACAGCUCGCAGCAAAGACCAAGGAGCUGUUAGGCUGACGACGAUGAUUAGAAGAAACAUGCAGGUGGGCGCUCUUACUGCCUCUAACAGGGAAAUGGUCGGCCGUUUUAGGAGGAAGCUGGAUAUCCUAAUAAUCAGUGCAUUUAGAGAGGACCACACGGGGCCCCUUUGGAUAGCCCACGAGGAGACUCCCCGAUCAUCGCAGGGACCAACCAGACGUUCCAACACACCUCCCCGCUUCUCCAAUCUGAACAAAGCGUUCCUCAGUCUAAAGUGGUUAAACUGUCAUUUCAAAUCGUCUGGACAUCGUGAUUACCAGCAUGGGAGGAAUUAUAUAUUUAGCUUUAUGUCCGUCGCCAUUUCCUCCCCCCGCCCUGAUCUGAAGUGACUAGCCAGUAGUGCCCUUGAUAUUACUAUCUCUGAGGAGUUUGAACCUUCCCCCAGGAGACAAGAGUAAUCAAGGGCUGCCAGCGGGAGAGAGGGAGAGUGGGGGAGGGAGGUGGAGGUGUGGGGUGAGGUGGGUGGUGUUGGAGACCUGUAGAGAUGUACGUGGAGGGAAUGUCAAUGGACUCGGUGUACGGAGAUAAAUAAUCCAAAUCCUUCAACAGAAAAUACUGAAAGAUGUGUCUUGCAUGACCUUAAGUCUGGGAAAUCUUUUCAAAAGAUAAUCAAAUUUGGUUUGUUUAUAGCAACUCCUGUUUAUUUGUAUGAAUUUCCUUUUUGUGCAUUCUAAUUACUGAGCUUUUAACAGACACUUGUCUCCAAUCAAAUACUGAAAACAGCAUAUUUUGAAAUUAUUGCUAGAACAUGGAUUUUUUUGAAGAUAAAACAGUUUUUUUUAAGUCAACCUAUGCAAAAGCCUUUAUUUUGACAGCUAAUUUUACUCUGUAAUUAAGCCCAGAAGUCCUUUUUUAUGCCAAAACAAAAAGAAAAUUCUAUUUUGCAAAGAAAAUAUGUCAAACUAAUCAAUUUUGGCAAUGAUAAAUCUAAUUUUAUGAUACAGAAAACAGAUUUUACAGAAUUCUUAAAAUACAGACAUUUCUUGCAUCCACUUAUUGUCUGAUAUUACAUGUGUUUUAGAUUUUUGUAUUGUUUUAUUUUGUUAAAUUUUGAGUUUUUAGUCUUGUGUGGCCUACAUCUUGGGAAGUAAGAAGGAUAAUCUUAUGAAUUUAAAUCAAAAAAUACCCUGGAAAACCUUUGCUCAUCAAAAAAGGGAGAUUUUUAAGAAGUAAGGCCCAAUUCUAGACAAAAAAACUUUAAACUUUCAUGGUGCAGUAACUGCUUCUACUUAUACAUUUUAUAUUGCAAGACAAAACAUACACAUUAGCUGGUGAAUGGAAAUCAUUUACACACACAUACAGUUGAUAUUUCUAUAAUGUUGAAGUUCUUGGUUGUUUUUCGAAUGCGCGUUUAAGAACCAGUUGUCCUGUAGUGCCCCUCCAGAAUCUCGUCCAUCCUGAAGACACUCAUUCAUCCUCAAUAACGUCACCGCUUGGUCAUAAAUAAGAGUGACCGUUAGGAAAGCAGAUGAACGCAGCCAACGGACUGGACAGGAAGCCUGUUAAUCUGCAAUCCAAUCCAGCUCUAGUCUAGUGAAACCCGGCUCAGCUUGGCCGGCCGAGGCCUGCGAGGAAGGAAGUGAAGGGCUCAGGAAGCGGUGUUCAGAGCUUUCACCAGUCAUAUCCAUCACAGCGCACCGUGAUGGAAGCAUGUGUGUUCAUGAGUGUGUGUGUGUGUGUGUGUGUGUGUCCCUGUUUCACCAGUCAUAUCCAUCACAGCGCACCGUGAUGGAAGCAUGUGUGUUCAUGAGUGUGUGUGUGUGUGUCCCUGUUUCACCAGUCAUAUCCAUCACAGAGCUCCGUCUCCAGGCUCGGCCAAGAGGACUGGAGGGUCAUUAGAGGGGCUGGGCUGCAGGCUGCAGUGCCGCACUUUAACUAAACAUCUUUUCCAUAAAAUAAAUGCUUCCAGGUUACCGUGGGUCCCGGAGAACCCAGGUUGCCUCGCUUUUGCUGCCACUCAUCUGAUCCCAAUUACCAGGCAGACUGGGCCAGUGCCAGCAGAGAGUGUAUGGAUGUAAACUGGAGUUGUUAGACUCCAGUUAGGGCCACAAAAGACCGAACAGCCUGAGUGUGGCAUCUGUGUUGUUUAAAUCAACACAUACACAUCCUACAUGACCGAACUUGCCCAAUCCUCUCUAGAAUAAUCUGCAAUUUAAUACCAACAGUAACACCUCUUUAUGACGAGAAUGGAUUUUGUACUCAUAUUCUAUAUUUUUGGUUCUCACUCAUGCUUUUAUGUGCUCUUGUAUGUGUGAGUAUUUGUAGGUUAAAUGUCAGGUUUGACGGUAUAAAACAAACCUGUGACCUAAUAUAAGUGUAUAAGCUGAUAGAAGUCUGACCCAUUUCACUGUUUUCCAUGUAUAUAGACAGAUAUUUACAUAAUUGCAUCUCAUAAAAUAGGCACCUGUCUUCAUUUGAUGUUUAUGUAAGAGAUAAUGCCCGAUCAGAAUGAAUCAAUCUUUGUAAUUUCCCUUUCUUCAUUCUUCAUAUUCUCCUAAAAAAUUAUGCACUGAGCUGAAAUAUGAAUGUAGCAUGGAUUUUUUUUUCUUUUCUGACUUAGACAAAAAGCUUAAAAAUCUCUUAUUUGUUGCUAUGUUUAGAAAGAGGUUCAUUUUAGCCAAAAUUCAAAUUCUUAACCAUUGAGUUAGUUCACAGCCUAGUCAGGUUUGGCUGUAAAGAGCAGUGAUCAGAUUGGGAUCAGUACACAGACACUCCUUUAACUAGUGUCUAUAAGUUUGAAAUCCAAUUGCAAGACAAGAAAAAGACAAGAACAUGCUGUUGGGAUGUUGGAUGUUGCCAUGUUACGGCACCCGAAUGAUGCAGUGAAUGCAUGAGCUCAACAACAUGAUCUUGUCCUCCAAAGACUUCACCGAGCCCUUUAAGAAGCGUGAGACAACACUUCACAUGCCAGAAUCAACAACUUUAUUACCGCUCUGUCACAGAUAUGUAACUUGUUAUUGACUUCAUGACUAUUUUCAAUAUAUUUGGUUGGUUCAUGGCGUCCAUUCUGUUGUCAGAGAUGCUGUGUGUUGGAACAACUAAUAUUUAUUCUACUAUAUUGAAAGAAUCAAUCAGAUUAACGAAAUAUCACAUGCUGUGUUUAUAUUUUUGUUCAGAGGUGAUGAAGUCACUCAUUUUUGUAAUUAACUAGAUGUUAGCUGGUUAAUGUGUUGUAAUAAAUUGUAACCAGCAGCUUUGAUUGCAUCCUUGUUGCUGUGGUUACCCAUUUUACACACAGGCCGAACCUGUAGGUAUACUUCAUCCAGUAUUUACGGACACCCUGCAGCCAAUAGAAUCAAGUAUUCUUUUUUAAAACUACUGUACAAGAGUCUGAAUCAUUUGGGUUUUAUAUUUAUAUUUCCCUCUUUGGUGUUCCUAACACUCUACAGAGCUGUAAGUGGCUUUAAAACCUAAUGUCAGAUCGUAUUGUGUUAUUUUUAUUAUGGUUUAUUACUGAACCUAACAUCAUCUCGUCAUGCUAUACCAUACUAAUCUGUCCAGUCAUGUGAGCUGUAGUUUCUGUAACCCCUCCCUUCUAGUGAGUGUCUUUUGUGAUUCAUAAAUUAGAGAAAAAGA